GACGAACGCUGGCGGCGUGCUUAACACAUGCAAGUCGAACGGAAAGGCCCUGCUUUUGUGGGGUGCUCGAGUGGCGAACGGGUGAGUAACACGUGAGUAACCUGCCCUUGACUUUGGGAUAACUUCAGGAAACUGGGGCUAAUACCGGAUAGGAGCUCCUGCUGCAUGGUGGGGGUUGGAAAGUUUCGGCGGUUGGGGAUGGACUCGCGGCUUAUCAGCUUGUUGGUGGGGUAGUGGCUUACCAAGGCUUUGACGGGUAGCCGGCCUGAGAGGGUGACCGGCAACAUUGGGACUGAGAUACGGCCCAGACUCCUACGGGAGGCAGAAGUGGGGAAUAUUGCACAAUGGGCGGAAGCCUGAUGCAGCAACGCCGCGUGCGGGAUGACGGCCUUCGGGUUGUAAACCGCUUUCGCCUGUGUCGAAGCGUGAGUGACGGUAAUGGGUAAAGAAGCACCGGCUAACUACGUG
rnacentral:rRNA from 1 species